rnacentral:rRNA from 1 species
GAUGAACGCUGGCGGCGUGCCUAAUACAUGCAAGUCGAGCGAACAGACGAGGAGCUUGCUCCUCUGACGUUAGCGGCGGACGGGUGAGUAACACGUGGAUAACCUACCUAUAAGACUGGGAUAACUUCGGGAAACCGGAGCUAAUACCGGAUAAUAUAUUGAACCGCAUGGUUCAAUAGUGAAAGACGGUUUUGCUGUCACGUAUAGAUGGAUCCGCGCCGCAUUAGCUAGUUGGUAAGGUAACGGCUUACCAAGGCAACGAUGCGUAGCCGACCUGAGAGGGUGAUCGGCCACACUGGAACUGAGACACGGUCCAGACUCCUCCGGGAGGCAGCAGUAGGGAAUCUUCCGCAAUGGGCGAAAGCCUGACGGAGCAACGCCGCGUGAGUGAUGAAGGUCUUCGGAUCGUAAAACUCUGUUAUUAGGGAAGAACAAAUGUGUAAGUAACUAUGCACGUCUUGACGGUACCUAAUCAGAAAGCCACGGCUAACUACGUG